GGAUAUAUCACGUUCAAACACCGGUUCUCGUCCGAUCACUGAAGUUAAGCUACGUUGAACCUGGUCAUUAGCUAGAUGGGUGACCUCUAGGAAAUACAAGGUACUGUAAG